rnacentral:rRNA from 1 species
UACGUAGGGUGCGAGCGUUUGUCCGGAAUUAUUAGGGCGUGAAAGAGCUCGUAGGCGGUCUGUCGCGAUCGGAUGGUAAAACUCGGGCUCAACCCCGAGCCUGCAUUCGAUACUGCCGUGCUUGAGGACGUGGAGAGGAGACUGGAAUUUACGGUGUAGCGGUGAAAUGCGUAGAUAAUCGUAAGGAAGACCAGUGGCGAAGGCGGGUCUCGUGGACAGGUUCCUGACGCUGGAGGCAACGAAGGCCAGGGGAGCAAACGGG